rnacentral:miRNA from 8 species
CCCAAUAUUAUGUGUGCUGCUUCA